rnacentral:rRNA from 1 species
UGGGGAAUAUUGCACAAUGGGCGCAAGCCUGAUGCAGCCAUGCCGCGUGUAUGAAGAAGGCCUUCGGGUUGUAAAGUACUUUCAGUCGGGAGGAAGGUGGUAAGGUUAAUAACCUUAUCAAUUGACGUUACCGACAGAAGAAGCACCGGCUAACUCCGUGCCAGCAGCCGCGGUAAUACGGAGGGUGCAAGCGUUAAUCGGAAUUACUGGGCGUAAAGCGCACGCAGGCGGUUGAUUGAGUCAGAUGUGAAAUCCCCGGGCUUAACCCGGGAAUUGCAUCUGAUACUGGUCAGCUAGAGUCUUGUAGAGGGGGUUAGAAUUCCAUGUGUAGCGGUGAAAUGCGUAGAGAUGUGGAGGAAUACCGGUGGCGAAGGCGGCCCCCUGGACAAAGACUGACGCUCAGGUGCGAAAGCGUGGGGAGCAAACAGG